UCCUACGGGAGGCAGCAGUGGGGAAUCUUGUGCAAUGAGCGAGCCUGACGCAGCGACGCCGCGUGGGGGAUGAAGGCCUUCGGGUUGUAAACCUCUUUCAGCAGGGACGAAGGUGACGUGUACCUGCAGAAGAAGCGCCGGCUAACUACGUGCCAGCAGCCGCGGUAAUACGUAGGGCGCGAGCGUUGUCCGGAAUUAUUGGGCGUAAAGAGCUCGUAGAGCGGCUGGUCGCGUCUGCCGUGAAAGGCCUGGGCUUAACUUGGGUUUUGCGGUGGAUACAGGCCGGCUAGAGGUAGGUAGGGGAGAACGGAAUUCCUGGUGUAGCGGUGGAAUGCGCAGA
rnacentral:rRNA from 1 species